CCUACGGGAGGCAGCAGUGAGGAAUAUUGGUCAAUGGCCGUAAGGCUGAACCAGCCAAGUCGCGUGAAGGAAGAAGGAUCUAUGGUUUGUAAACUUCUUUUAUAGGGGAAUAAAGGUAUCCACGUGUGUAUAUUUGCACGUACCCUAUGAAUAAGCAUCGGCUAACUACGUGCCAGCAGCCGCGGUAAUACGGAGGAUGCGAGCGUUAUCCGGAUUUAUUGGGUUGAAAGGGUGCGUAGGUUGUUUUGUAAGUCAGCGGUGAAAGUUUGUGGCUCAACCAUAGAAUUGCCGUUGAUACUGGAAGACUUGAGUGUGUUUGAGGUAGGCGGAAUGCGUGGUGAAGCGGUGAAAUGCAUAGAUAUCACGCAGAACACCGAUUGCGAAGGCAGCUUACUAAGCCAUAACUGACACUGAGGCACGAAAGCGUGGGGAGCAAACAGGAUUAGAUACCCUUGUAGUC
rnacentral:rRNA from 1 species